ACAACUCAAGCCCUCCUCUCCCUUUUCUGUUUCAUGUAACUCAAACCCUCAUCCAUCACACUGCAGUUUUCUCUCCUCCCUUCACGUCCGCCGCUUCUGCCAGCCGCCACAGCCACCGGCGACCCUAACGCCGCAGCACCACGAGCUUCGUGCCGCCGUCCACCACCUAGCGCAGUCACCCACGAACCUCGACCACCGCCGCACGCCGUCGAGCCGCAACCAACCUCCGCAAGUUGCCGCCUUGCCGCCGCCGUGAUCUGUCCGCCGGCCAACCCUUCUCUCUCCCUCUUUCUUGGCGGAGAAUUCUCUGUAGGCGACUUUUGAAUUAUUAAAGUGGUCUUGAAGUUUGUUUACACAAGG